UGGUACUUGUGGAUCCUUACCAAAAUGUCACUUACCUAUAGCUAAUGGAAUAUUUAAGUGGAGCUCAUAGGAGUGAAAAACAGCUCAUACAUAUGUUGUCUAAUCGAGCCAUGGAUCUAAAGGAACUCAGCAGAUAAUUAAAUCAAGAUGUGCAUGUGUGUGGAGUAAAUGAUAGUGAUGGUAAAAAUGCAUAAGUGAUAAUAAAACUUAGUUCUCAUUGCUCCUCAUAUUGCUAUCUCUCCUCCUCUUUGAUCUUUGCUUUGGGAGAACAUGGGCUAUCUUUUUUUUCAGAUGGGUAGUAGAUACCCCUAAUUCUACUGUCGGACACUUGUCCAUUUUUUUCCGCUCAAGUGGGCAUCUUUGUACCCCUAAUUCUACUUCGGACACUUGUCCAUUUUUACCUCUCGUCUCACUCUUUUUCUUUCUUUUCUGAGGUUCCGGGCACUUGCCCCUUUUUAUUUCCUCGCAUAUUUUUGCUUAACCCAUGCCUCUUUUUAGAGAGAGAGAAUAACAAUACUUGGGACAGUGAGUGAUAAUAUUUUUAGCAAUUUUAAUGAAUGGUGAUGGAUGGUGUAGUAGAUAUGUGCAAGUGAAUAUCUUAAUUUAACCACAUGAAAAGCUCCUAAGGGUCUACACAGCUCGAUCAAACUCAAUGUGAAUAUAGUAAAAGAUGUUAUAGGAAGUAUGGCUGUGGUAGGUAGUUUGUUAUGCUAGGAACUCAUCAUGUGAUU
rnacentral:lncRNA from 1 species